GAAUAGUGGUCGAUGGGCGGAAGCCUGAACCAGCCAUGCCGCGUGCAGGAUGACGGCCCUCUGGGUUGUAAACUGCUUUUGUACGGGAAUAACCUCCAUCACGUGUGAUGGGCUGCAUGUACUGUACGAAUAAGGAACGGAUAACUCCGUGCCAGCAGCCGCGGUAAUACGGAGGAUCCGAGCGUUAUCCGGAUUUAUUGGGUUUAAAGGGUGCGUAGGCGGCUAAAUAAGUCAGGGGUGAAAUACGGCAGCUCAACUGUCGCAGUGCCUUUGAUACUGUUUAGCUUGAAUAUGUUUGAAGAUGGCGGAAUGAGACAAGUAGCGGUGAAAUGCAUAGAUAUGUCUCAGAACUCCGAUUGCGAAGGCAGCUAUCUAAGUCAUUAUUGACGCUGAUGCACGAAAGCGUGGGUAUCAAACA
rnacentral:rRNA from 1 species